rnacentral:rRNA from 1 species
GAUGAACGCUGGCGGCGUGCCUAAUACAUGCAAGUCGAGCGAACAGACGAGGAGCUUGCUCCUCUGGCGUUAGCGGCGGACGGGUGAGUAACACGUGGAUAACCUACCUAUAAGACUGGGAUAACUUCGGGAAACCGGAGCUAAUACCGGAUAAUAUAUUGAACCGCAUGGUUUAAUAGUGAAAGACGGUUUUGCUGUCACUUAUAGAUGGAUCCGCGCCGCAUUAGCUAGUUGGUAAGGUAACGGCUUACCAAGGCAACGAUGCGUAGCCGACCUGAGAGGGUGAUCGGCCACACUGGAACUGAGACACGGUCCAGACUCCUACGGGAGGCAGCAGUAGGGAAUCUUCCGCAAUGGGCGAAAGCCUGACGGAGCAACGCCGCGUGAGUGAUGAAGGUCUUCGGAUCGUAAAACUCUGUUAUUAGGGAAGAACAAAUGUGUAAGUAACUAUGCACGUCUUGACGGUACCUAAUCAGAAAGCCACGGCUAACUACGUG